UACGGAAGGUCCGGGCGUUAUCCGGAUUUAUUGGGUUUAAAGGGAGCGUAGGCCGGAGAUUAAGCGUGUUGUGAAAUGUAGUGGCUCAACCUCUGCACUGCAGCGCGAACUGGUCUUCUUGAGUACGCACAACGUGGGUGGAAUUCGUGGUGUAGCGGUGAAAUGCUUAGAUAUCACGAAGAACUCCGAUUGCGAAGGCAGCUCACGGGAGCGCAACUGACGCUGAAGCUCGAAAGUGCGGGUAUCGAACAGG
rnacentral:rRNA from 1 species